CAGCCGCCGCGGUAAUACGUAGGUGGCAAGCGUUGUCCGGAAUUAUUGGGCGUAAAGGGCUCGCAGGCGGUUUCUUAAGUCUGAUGUGAAAGCCCCCGGCUCAACCGGGGAGGGUCAUUGGAAACUGGGAAACUUGAGUGCAGAAGAGGAGAGUGGAAUUCCACGUGUAGCGGUGAAAUGCGUAGAGAUGUGGAGGAACACCAGUGGCGAAGGCGACUCUCUGGUCUGUAACUGACGCUGAGGUGCGAAAGCGUGGGGAGCGAACAGGAUUAGAUACCCCUGUAGUCCCUGUCUCUUAUAA
rnacentral:rRNA from 1 species